AUAAGAAAUUAUUAUGAGUGAAUUUGGUCACGGUACCAUGUAGUACGUGAUCGUGCGCUAAAUAGUGCGCGACUAUAUCGGUGAAACCUAAGUGGUAAGUAUAAGCGGAAUCAUAAGGUAACGCCGAGGAAAGAUCCUGAAUAAAAUUGAAGGAAAUCCGUAGAGACUAUACGCCAAAUACCUAAACUAUAUUUAGAAUGGUAAAGACAUAGUCCGAUACUCCGGGAAACCGGAGA
rnacentral:ncRNA from 1 species